GACGAACGCUGGCGGCGUGCCUAAUACAUGCAAGUAGAACGCACAGUUUAUACCGUAGCUUGCUACACCAUAGACUGUGAGUUGCGAACGGGUGAGUAACGCGUAGGUAACCUGCCUGGUAGCGGGGGAUAACUAUUGGAAACGAUAGCUAAUACCGCAUAAUAUUGAUUAUUGCAUGAUAAUUAAUUGAAAGGUGCAAUUGCACCACUACCAGAUGGACCUGCGUUGUAUUAGCUAGUAGGUGAGGUAACGGCUCACCUAGGCGACGAUACAUAGCCGACCUGAGAGGGUGAUCGGCCCCACUGGGACUGAGACACGGCCCAGACUCCUACGGGAGGCAGCAGUAGGGAAUCUUCGGCAAUGGACGAAAGUCUGACCGAGCAACGCCGCGUGAGUGAAGAAGGUUUUCGGAUCGUAAAGCUCUGUUGUAAGAGAAGAACGGGUGUGAGAGUGGAAAGUUCACACUGUGACGGUAUCUUACCAGAAAGGGACGGCUAACUACGUG
rnacentral:rRNA from 1 species